GGUUGCACCGUUGUUUGUGAGCUUGCUAAAGGCCAUACCGGAACCUUCUCCGGCGAACACGAAAAUAAGAGUAGAGAUGAACCCAGCCAGAGCCGCCUUCAAGGCGUCUGGGUGAGUUGCCUCCUGGGGAUGGCCUACGGCGAUGUUUCUGAUCGGCAUCUUCCUCGCGUACGAUGAAGAUCAAACGGUGGAAAACCAAACGAUGAUCCCUCUGUAGAGCUCACUAGAGACUAGAGAC
rnacentral:misc_RNA from 1 species